rnacentral:rRNA from 1 species
ANAGUCUGGGAUACCACUUGGAAACAGGUGCUAAUACCGGAUAAGAAAGCGGAUCGCAUGAUCAGCUUUUAAAAGGCGGCGUAAGCUGUCGCUAUGGGAUGGCCCCGCGGUGCAUUAGCUAGUUGGUAAGGUAAAGGCUUACCAAGGCGAUGAUGCAUAGCCGAGUUGAGAGACUGAUCGGCCACAUUGGGACUGAGACACGGCCCAAACUCCUACGGGAGGCAGCAGCC